UCUGCCACACUUAUCUUAGACACCAACUAGUUAAUUAGUUUCGAUUUGGUUCACCAGAAGAUUCGGACUCAACUACGGAGCCAUGAUCAUGGUCCAUUUAUUAGGAUCAAACAUAUGAACUUGAUCAAACUACAACUAUUGAGAUUGAUUUAGAGAAAUAUCGAUUUAAUCUAAUUUAACACUUGAUUAGAUUUAAUCAAUUUCUC
rnacentral:lncRNA from 1 species